GUCAAAUAUAUGCAAGUCUGCUGAGGCCCAAACUUCAAAACGAACUGCUCCACAGUGGCAGCCUCCUGUGUGCUUCACCAGGCCCUGGUAUUCACUAAAUGAAACAAAAAUCAGAAAGAUAAUAAUUUCUGAAUAGCUGCCUCCUGCUCUCUUUUUGUUGCUGAAAGAAAGACAGAAGAUUAGACAAAAGUCUUUUCUACAUGACAACCAGAUGCAUUUCUGCUUUUAAGGAGGCACUGUCAAUUUCCUAAGUGAAGAAUGGUUUCAGCACCUUCUUUGUCCAUGAGCUCUCUUUUCACCAAUUUCUUAAAUUAUAUUAAGUUGCAAAAUAAAACAUUCCAAACAUUUCGAAAAUGUGAGGGAUCCUAACCCACCACCAGACAUUUUUAUUUAUAUGUCAAAUACUAAAUUUUUUUUUUUUUUUUUGAGAUGGAGUCUCAGUCUAUUGCCCAGGCUGGAGUACGGUGGCACGAUCUUGGCUCACUGCAACCUCUGCCACCUGGGUUGAAGCAAUUCUCCAGCCUUAGCCUCCCAAGUAGCUGGGAUUACAGGCGCCUGCCACCGCGCCCUGCUAAUUUUGUAUUUUUAGUAGAGAUAGGGCUUCACCAUCUUGGCCAAGCUGGUCUUGAACUCCUGACCUUGUGAUCCACCCACGGGGACUCCCAAAGUGCUGGGAUUACAGGCGUGAGCCACUGCUCCGGGCCUCAAAUACUAAAUAUUUUUAUGAGCUAGGCACGAAGGAGAGAACACUAAACAAGAUACAGCAGACACGAUUGCUACCCUUACCGACCUUAACAAUUUACUCAAAUAAUAAUUAAUUAUGAUUGUGAUAAAGGAGGUACAGGCUGCUAUGAAAAAUAAGACUGUGUACUCAAUCAAGUCCAGAGGUCCAGAAGAGCCUUUUGAGAAACUUAAUAAAGGCUCUUAUAUUUUUGCUCUAUUUCUUUCCAGUAUUCUUCAUACACAUGCGUUUUACAUAGUUGUAAUACACAUUACAUAGAAUUUUUUUUUUUUGAGAGGGAGUUUCAUUCUUGUUGCCCAGGCUGGAGUGCAGUGACGCGAUUUCAGCCCACCGCAACCUCCACCUCCAGGGUUCAAAUGAUUCUCCUGCCUCAGCCUCCCGAGUAGCUGGGAUUACAGGCGCCCACCACCACACCCAGCUAAUUUUGUAUUUUUAGUAGAGACGGGGUUUCUCCAUGUUGGUCAGGCAGUCUCAAACUCCCCACCUCAGGUGAUCCACCCGCCUCGGCCUCCCAAAGUGCUGGGAUUACAGGCAUGAGCCACCUCACCCAGCCUACAUACAAUUUUAACCCUUUAAAGCUUAUAUAUAAGCCAAACUCAGAAAUGAACAUUAAGAUCUGAUAAAUGUCUUAAAAUCGCUUUCCAAAAGGAUUGAACACCCUUACCCGAUAAAUAAAUGAGAAAACAUUUCACUGUACAGUCUCAGGCAAUAAUUAUAGGAAAAAUAGCUCACUGCAGUUUUAAUUUGCAUGAUUAAGACUGAUCAUUUUUUCAUGUUUCUUUACGUUUAUGUAUUUUAAUUUUUUCUGCACACAUAAUGCUUAUUGUAAAAACUCCAAACUUCACACUAUUUGAGAGUGCUCAAAGUGAAAGCCUCCUGUAAUCUUUACACCCAGAGGGAUCUACAGUUAAUUAUUUGUUAUAUAUUCCCCCAAACUUUUUUCUACACAAUAUUUUAACGAAAAUGGUACAGUUAUACACACUUUUUGAAUAUAAUUUAGUAGACUUUAUAAGUACAAAGUCAUGGCAAUCUAGUGGGAGAAAAACAG
rnacentral:lncRNA from 1 species